rnacentral:lncRNA from 1 species
AGCUCAAAGGAGAUGUUUCCUGUCAAAGGCAUGCUGAAGAAGGAGGAGGAGAAGCAGCAGCAGCAUUCUUCGCUGCAACAACUGUCGGCCGCUUUAUUUUCUACAAUCUUUUUAGAUCAAGGGUCCUUAGACUUGAUGGCUAGUUGGAAUCUCCUGGGAAGCUUUAAAUUUCCAGAUGCCCAGGCCCCAACUCAGACCACUUACAUCUGAGUCUCGGAGGAGGGUGGGGUGAGAGGGAAACGGGGCAUCAGUAUUUUUCAGUGCUUCCCAAGCGACUCCAACGUGCAGGACUGGCUGUUCGGGAAUCUGAGCAGGCUUUCCAGAGGCACCGGCUAGUGGAGGAUGUGUGUGUGCGAGAGACCCGGGGUCCUGCUCUGCCUCUAGGCCUGGCUUGGAGAUGCCGGGUCUCCGGGUUCCCGCAGGCACCCACACGUGCGGCCGCGGCGACGAGUCUGGUCAUCUGCGGAGACGGCCAGCGGGGCUCGGCGGCCGCCACGCUGCCCACCCCAACCACAGAGGUUCGCAGGAGACGCCCGGGGCUCAGGAAUCUUACCUUGGCUGCCGGCGCUGCCCUCCAGUUCCCGGAAUCCUGGGACUCGGGUUCGAUCUGUCGCCGGGCUCGGCGGUCGCUCUCGUCUGCGCCGGAGAGGCGCCCACCAAGAGCUCAGGCGCCACCUAGUGGGCGAGGGGCGGCCGCGCAGGGAAUCGGUUGGGAGGUGGGAGCGCAGGCGGAUUCAGGCGGAAAUGCAGCCCGGGCUUCCCACGUGGGCGGUUUUCCAACAAGCUGCGCACCCCGGGCACACAUCCCGGCUGGGUGGGACGGCCUUCACUCCCUGAAGGGCGCUAGGACCUGAACUUGCUGAACUUUCUGUUGGGAGCUCGGAGGGGCAGCCAGACCCUGGCUGCUGGCCUGAGAGCCAUCCUGGGAUUUUCCUGGCCCGACUCGGGGAUCUUAGCCUUUCAUCCAGAAGCUUUUCAAUUUGGCAUAGCCUGCCCUUUAAAUAUGCUGGGAACAUCAGAAGAUGCAAGGGACCUGGGUUUCUCUCAAGGCCGGGAGGCCUUUUCUCUACUUCUCUACUAGUAACCCUCUUUUGGCCCUGCCUAACCCCCCUCCACUGCCGCCACCCCCCGUCCCCGCCCCAGCCGUUGCCUUCCUACCCGGUUCCCUCCAGUCUCUUUGGCUGAACUUCAUUAAUCGCCCAGUCUGUGUCACAUUCUGUAGAGUCUGGAGACACAGGUCCCUUAGGAAUUGGCAAGUUGAUGUUUAUGUUUCUGAACCGGAUGCCAUUGACAUUUUUUUUGGUUGGGGCCAUCCUGGCACUGCAGGGCAUUUAAGACCCCUAGAAUAGCCACCCUUUAGUCACCGAGACAACUAAAACCAACAUUUCAUAUUUCCAAUUGUCUCCAGGGUUGGAGGAGCACUGCCCUUGACUGAGCACCUAUUAAUUGGUUCUCAAGGUCAGGAAGAUGGUGGAUUAUUUUAAAUGUGUACAUUUCAUUUAUUUCUUCCUUCAAUAAAUGUUAACUGAGCACCUACUA